rnacentral:rRNA from 1 species
GACGAACGCUGGCGGCGUGCUUAACACAUGCAAGUCGAACGGAAAGGCCCUGCUUUUGUGGGGUGCUCGAGUGGCGAACGGGUGAGUAACACGUGAGUAACCUGCCCUUGACUUUGGGAUAACUUCAGGAAACUGGGGCUAAUACCGGAUAGGAGCUCCUGCUGCAUGGUGGGGGUUGGAAAGUUUCGGCGGUUGGGGAUGGACUCGCGGCUUAUCAGCUUGUUGGUGGGGUAGUGGCUUACCAAGGCUUUGACGGGUAGCCGGCCUGAGAGGGUGACCGGCCACAUUGGGACUGAGAUACGGCCCAGACUCCUACGGGAGGCAGCAGUGGGGAAUAUUGCACAAUGGGCGGAAGCCUGAUGCAGCAACGCCGCGUGCGGGAUGACGGCCUUCGGGUUGUAAACCGCUUUCGCCUGUGACGAAGCGUGAGUGACGGUAAUGGGUAAAGAAGCACCGGCUAACUACGUGCCAGCAGCCGCGGUGAUACGUAGGGUGCGAGCGUUGUCCGGAUUUAUUGGGCGUAAAGGGCUCGUAGGUGGUUGAUCGCGUCGGAAGUGUAAUCUUGGGGCUUAACCCUGAGCGUGCUUUCGAUACGGGUUGACUUGAGGAAGGUAGGGGAGAAUGGAAUUCCGGGUGGAGCGGUGGAAUGCGCAGAUAUCAGGAGGAACACCAGUGGCGAAGGCGGUUCUCUGGGCCUUUCCUGACGCUGAGGAGCGAAAGCGUGGGGAGCGAACAGGCUUAAAUACCCUGGUAGUCCACGCUGUAAACGGUGGGUACUAGGUGUGGGGUCCAUUCCACGGGUUCCGUGCCGUAGCUAACGCUUUAAGUACCCCGCCUGGGGAGUACGGCCGCAAGGCUAAAACUCAAAGGAAUUGACGGGGCCCCGCACAAGCGGCGGAGCAUGCGGAUUAAUUCGAUGCAACGCGUAGAACCUUACCUGGGUUUGACAUGGAUCGGGAGUGCUCAGAGAUGGGUGUGCCUCUUUUGGGGUCGGUUCACAGGUGGUGCAUGCCUGUCGUCAGCUCGUGUCGUGAGAUGUUGGGUUAAGUCCCGCAACGAGCGCAACCCUUGUUCACUGUUGCCAGCACGUUAUGGUGGGGACUCAGUGGAGACCGCCGGGGUCAACUCGGAGGAAGGUGGGGAUGACGUCAAGUCCUCAUGCCCCUUAUGUCCAGGGCUUCACGCAUGCUACAAUGGCUGGUACAGAGAGUGGCGAGCCUGUGAGGGUGAGCGAAUCUCGGAAAGCCGGUCUCAGUUCGGAUUGGGGUCUGCAACUCGACCUCAUGAAGUCGGAGUCGCUAGUAAUCGCAAAUCAGCAACGCUGCGGUGAAUACGUUCCCGGG